GGGGAAUAUUGGACAAUGGGGGCAACCCUGAUCCAGCAAUGCCGCGUGUGUGAAGAAGGUCUUCGGAUUGUAAAGCACUUUCGACGGGGACGAUGAUGACGGUACCCGUAGAAGAAGCCCCGGCUAACUUCGUGCCAGCAGCCGCGGUAAUACGAAGGGGGCUAGCGUUGCUCGGAAUGACUGGGCGUAAAGGGCGUGUAGGCGGUUUACACAGUCAGAUGUGAAAUCCCCGGGCUUAACCUGGGAGCUGCAUUUGAUACGUGUAGACUAGAGUGUGAGAGAGGGUUGU
rnacentral:rRNA from 1 species